GCCGGAAUAGCUCAGUUGGUAGAGCAGAGGACUGAAAAUCCUCGUGUCACAA
rnacentral:tRNA from 2 species